rnacentral:rRNA from 1 species
GACGAACGCUGGCGGCGUGCUUAACACAUGCAAGUCGAACGAAGUGGCGAACGGGUGAGUAACGCGUAAUCAACCUGCCCUUCAGCGGGGGACAACCGUUGGCAACGACUGCUAAUACCGCAUACUGAAGGAGGGGAUUGCGUCUGAUUAGCGAGUUGGAGGGGUAACGGCCCACCAAGGCGAUGCUCAAUAGCCGGGCUGAGAGGAUGAAAGGCAAAAUUGGGACGGAGACACGGCCCAGACUCCUAAGGGAGGCAGGAGUGGGGAAGCUUCCGCAAUGGACGAAAGUCGGACGGAGCAACGCCGCGUGAGUGAUGACGGCCUUCGGGUUGGAAAGCUCUGUUAAUCGGGACGCGGUACCGGAAUAGAAAGCCACGGCUAACUACGUGCCAGCAGCCGCGGUAAUUC